rnacentral:rRNA from 1 species
AUACGGAGGAUCCGAGCGUUAUCCGGAUUUAUUGGGUUUAAAGGGAGCGUAGGCGGACGCUUAAGUCAGUUGUGAAAGUUUGCGGCUCAACCGUAAAAUUGCAGUUGAUACUGGGUGUCUUGAGUACAGUAGAGGCAGGCGGAAUUUGUGGUGUAGCGGUGAAAUGCUUAGAUAUCACGAAGAACUCCGAUUGCGAAGGCAGCCUGCUGGACUGUAACUGACGCUGAUGCUCGAAAGUGUGGGUAUCAAACAGGAUUAGAUACCCUGGUAGUCCACACAGUAAACGAUGAAUACUCGCUGUUUGCGAUAUACAGUAAGCGGCCAAGCGAAAGCGUUAAGUAUUCCACCUGGGGAGUACGCCGGCAACGGUGAAACUCAAAGGAAUUGACGGGG